GCAUGACACAUGUCAAAGAUGUGUGACGCGUGUGAAAGGCCUGUGACAUGUGUGUGAGGGGCUCAACACACAUCUGACAUGUGUGUGACACACGUGUGGGGGUGUGACACACAUGUGAGCUGCCUGUGACAUGCAUGUAGGAGGCUCAACACGUGUGUGAGAGGCGUGUGACACGCACGUGGGGGCGUGAUGUACAUAACACAUGUGUCAGAGCCAUGUAACACGUGUGUCAGAGGCUGUGACAUGUGUGUGGGGCUCAACACGCAUGUGAGAGGCAUGUGACACGCAUGUAGGAGGCACAACACACAUGUGAGAAGCGUGUCAGCAGCGUGUGACACGCGUGUGGGGUGUGUUGGGCACCACACGUGUGUGCCAGGAACCGCUACACGCAUGUCAGGCCUGCAGAACACGUGUCAUAAAGCCGCCCCGUACACGUGUCACUAUCAUGGGACACACGUGUGACAUGAGUGUCACUGUGUGUGUAACAGUCAUGGCACACGCGUGUGACACGGGGCAGCACCCCACCCCCAAACUCCGACCUAUCGCGACAUAUCACAAUGUAUCGCCACCGCCCCACACACGUGUGCCACACGCGACUCAACAGCCCGACUCCAACAUAUCGCGACAUAUCGCAACCGCACCAAGCAUCCCUCCAGCGUGCCGGGACAACACAACACCCCCCUAUCGCGACACCCCCAAAUCGCAGCGCCCCCACAGAGCUAUCGCGACACCC
rnacentral:lncRNA from 1 species